ACGUGGCGAUAUUUUAUUAACUACAACUGUUAACCCAGAUCCUCUACUAACCAGACCUUUCCAUACCUAGAAGUUCUAGCACGCUAGAAUCAGAGAUUGGAGGAAAAGCAGAGUGAGUACCAAGGAAGUAAGUUGAGUCCAUUUUUAAAAAAAUGAGAAAGAAAGAAAAAGAAAACUAAAACAUCUUCAGGGAUUGUCCAGGAACCAGGCCGAUACAAAAUAUUAUGUUCAUAAAGAUUGGUAGCCAUGAAAAGUGGACAGAAAGAGACUUGGCUUGACCUUUCAUUAAGCAGCAGAAGAAAAUUAACUAGACUCUUUACCUUCCCUAUUUCCAGGCAGGCUCAACUAAUUGCAAUUUCAUCACAUUCCUAAUGGUCAAGGAUCAAUUGGCCGCAAGGUGGCGAUAGUAUCUUUAUUUAACACA
rnacentral:lncRNA from 1 species